AUUGAACGCUGGCGGCAUGCCUUACACAUGCAAGUCGAACGGCAGCACGGGGGCAACCCUGGUGGCGAGUGGCGAACGGGUGAGUAAUGCAUCGGAACGUGUCCUCUUGUGGGGGAUAACCAGUCGAAAGAUUGGCUAAUACCGCAUGAGAUCGAGAGAUGAAAGCGGGGGACCCGAGGGUAACUUCGGGCCUCGCGCGAGAGGAGCGGCCGAUGCCGGAUUAGCAGUUGGUGGGGUAAGAGCCUACCAAGGCGACGAUCCGUAGCUGGUCUGAGAGGACGACCAGCCACACUGGGACUGAGACACGGCCCAGACUCCUACGGGAGGCAGCAGUGGGGAAUUUUGGACAAUGGGCGCAAGCCUGAUCCAGCCAUGCCGCGUGUGUGAAGAAGGCCU
rnacentral:rRNA from 1 species